rnacentral:lncRNA from 1 species
GUGCUCUUCGGGUCUUAGCAAAAACGAACUUCUCCUUUACUUUGUCAAUAUUCACACUGAAAUCCUGAUGAAUAUGCAUUAAUGCUAGCGAUGAUAACCUGUUGUUGUUCAUCAUGGUUGAUCGUACUUAUUUUUUUAACCAACGUAGUACACUAAACGAUCUCUCCGAGGUACAUGCAGCACUUGUUACCGGCAUUGACAACAUAAUACUAGUACUCAAAAUAGUAUCUAUAGAAGGAUAAAGCACUGGGCUAAGCACAACGAUUGUUUCACACAACGAAAUUGGCGUAUGAUAUGAGUUGCUAUACACCAGCGUGUUCGCAAUCGAGCGACCUCCCCCUAGAUUGAAUUCGUCUAAUUGAAAUUAAAUGCCAGGACAGUCUCGUAUGUCUCAAACAAUGUUGCGAUUUUUCGUUUGUUAUAUUUUCUACAACACGAGGAAGCAGAUACUGCGCAAAGAAGCGAUUUUCUGAUGAUAUCUGACGCGACUCUAGUUCCAUUAACAUGUGGUCUAUGAACGCAACAUAUAAUAAGACUUUCCAAUACUGCUUCGUCGAGUUUGCAUGGUGAUUGGCUCUGGUAGUCUGUCUUCCACAUCGCCUUGGCAUAUUUUCAACGAUAUCGAAGGGUUCAGAUAAAUCUACUGUCGAUUGGUACAUCUCAUUCAAAACAGAUGCAUCGCUUCGUUCAGCUCGUAACAACUCAAUAACAGUUAUACAUUCUUUUUUAACAUCCAACAGAUCACAUUUGAUACCUUUUAUAUACACCGUACUCUGUUAAAUGUGCUCCG